rnacentral:lncRNA from 1 species
ACAAGGUCUUCAAUUCCCUGUGUCACUCCUUGCUGUGUCCCCUGGACCCUAAGGUGCAAUGCUCUUGACUACCACUGGGUAUCAACAAAUGGAGCUACCUUAACAUAUCAUCUUGGGGACCUGGUGACACAUCUGUGUUGUGACAGCAUCACGAGGAGCCAGUGUUUCAUCUUCAGUUUGGAUGAGCUGGUAAAACCAAGAGCUUUAGAGGCAAGGAGGCCUAGUAACGGCUCUCUGCUCCUGAAUGUGAGAGGCCCCAUCAGCCGCCUCAAGAUUCCAGGCAACUGCAGCAGCUGUCACAAAGCAUCGUGUGGCAUUGAGGAAUGUGGUCAGAAAGCCGCUAAAUGAAAAAAGGGUCUCAGGAAGGCAAGAAGGAGGGAACGGCCCUAAGUGCCAUGUGAGGAAUGGGGCUUUUUCAAAUCAACUCCUCUAAAGAAC